rnacentral:rRNA from 1 species
CAAUAGCGUAUAUUAAAGUUGUUGCAGUUAAAAAGCUCGUAGUUGGAUUUCUGAUCGAGACAUCAGGUCGGGUCCGAGAGGAUCAUGUACUUUGAUUUUGUUUUGAUCAUCCUUGGGGAGAGCAUUUCUGGCAUUCAGUUGUCGGGAUUGGGAUCCUCAUCGUUUACUGUGAAAAAAUUAGAGUGUUCAAAGCAGGCCUCGGCCUCUGAAUACAUUAGCAUGGAAUAAUAAGAUAGGACUUUGGUGGUCUAUUUUGUUGGUUUGCACGCCAAAGUAAUGAUUAAUAGGGAUAGUUGGGGGUAUUCGUAUUCAAUUGUCAGAGGUGAAAUUCUUGGAUUUAUGGAAGACGAACUACUGCGAAAGCAUUUACCAAGGAUGUCUUCAUUAA